UACGAAGGGGGCUAGCGUUGUUCGGAAUCGCUGGGCGUAAAGCGCACGCAGGCGGAUUGAUAAGUCAGGGGUGAAAUCCCGGAGCUCAACUUCGGAAUUGCCUUUGAUACUGUCUGUCUUGAGUCCGGGAGAGGUGAGUGGAAUUCCUAGUGUAGAGGUGAAAUUCGUAGAUAUUAGGAAGAACACCAGUGGCGAAGGCGGCUCACUGGCCCGGUACUGACGCUCAUGUGCGAAAGCGUGGGGAGCAAACAGG
rnacentral:rRNA from 1 species